AUGGGCAGCUAGGAGGGCUUCCAAAUAAGGUCACCAUUCUCUGCAAUGGCGUGGAAGGCAUAUAUUUUUCAAGCCUUCACUUGUAAGCAUCACUUGUUCAUAUGUAUCUGUCCUCUGUUGUAAUUUUUUUUAAAUUGCUGUAGCUAAUUACUACGUAUAACUUCUUAUUUGUGAGGUGCGGCAAGUGAUAAUACAUUCAUGCCUUUUUCUUUUUCUUGAUUGUCAAUUAAUAUUUUGCACAUAUUUUCUAAUAGCUAAUGCAACUUAUCUCUCAAGCUUCAUUAAUGGAUUUCAAACUCAUUGAUGCUAAUUUUGAAUCUGCUGUUGCUAUUACUUCUGUAUGUAAAAUGAUUCAUUUAUUGCUUUUUGGUAAAUAUACAUUUUCCUCUACUUCAGAGUUGUUUGCAAGUGUGGUAUUUGUGGGACUGAAAAACAAGCACUCGGUGACUGGGAACAACACAGGUUCUAAAUUAAGAAACUGGAAAACAAGUAUUAGGGUCAAAGGCUCCAUGUUACCACUUGAAUAGUGGAUGCUGCAAUUGGCUGAGGUCCAUGCUAAUGCUCAAGUUUCUGUCAAACCUAAAAAGUCUUCUCUAAAAGAGAGGAAGCAGAAGUUACUUGCCUUCUUGCAAGGUUUACAGGAGUUUGCUGAGAGGAAGGACAAUGGGAAGAUGGCUGAAGGAUCAAAAGGAGAGGAAAAAGCAGGAAAUUAGGACAUUGUAGAAUCAAUAGAGUGUACAUAGCUGCCAUAAAGUUCUACACUUACCAUAUGAGUGGUCUUUAACUUAGCUUGCAUUGUUCAAGAAAUUUUAGAAAAUUCUAAAGACGCUACUCUACUAAUGUUUUUGAGACAUGGAUGUAAUUUUCACUCCAUAUGGAUGUAUAACUGUAUAUUA